GAUUUCUGGUCUGACAUGCCUGGCCCGCCGGGGUCACCCGCGUGAGUGCCGGUGCGCGUCUACCAUCCUUCUGGAAAACGGCCUUACCCUUCACUGGGCCGAGGUCGCGAUCCAGAUCUUUUACUUUGAAAAAAUUAGAGUGUUUAAAGCAGGCUUGCGCUAUGAAUACAUUAGCAUGGAAUAAUAAUUUAGGACUUUGUUUCUAUUUUGUUGGUUUCUAGAGGCGAAGUAAUGAUUGAUAGGGAUAGUUGGGGGUGCUAGUAUUCAGCGGCCAGAGGUGAAAUUCUUGGAUUCGCUGAAGACUAACUUAUGCGAAAGCAUU
rnacentral:rRNA from 2 species